UACAGAGGUCUCAAGCGUUUGUUCGGAUUCAUUGGGCGUAAAGGGUGCGUAGGCGGCGCGGUAAGUCGGGUGUGAAAUUUCGAGGCUUAACUUCGAAACUGCAUUCGAUACUGCCGUGCUUGAGGACUGGAGAGGAGACUGGAAUUUACGGUGUAGCAGUGAAAUGCGUAGAGAUCGUAAGGAAGACCAGUGGCGAAGGCGGGUCUCUGGAAAGUUCCUGACACUGAGGCACGAAGGCCAGGGGAGCAAACGGG
rnacentral:rRNA from 1 species